rnacentral:lncRNA from 1 species
UAGUACAUUAGAGCUGUGUGAAGACAAUAAAACACCAGUGCCAGGAGAACCUUUGAUGUACCUAACCAACCUUAGUGCAGCCUCCAUGUGUGAAGUCUUAGGUGAAUGCAUAAAUUGGCUCAAACAUUGCACAGCAAAUGCAAUAUCAGGUCUGGUAUUAGUCAAGUACAAAAGCCUGCCAAGAAGUCUUUGAUAGGCACCAAUGUCAUCUACAGGUAAGUCUCAUGUAAGCCCAGUGUGAUUAUCAAACUCAGUAGUGGUGAAUUUCAUAUUGAACUCCAACGGAGUACCUACUGGUUUGGCCCCUGCAAGUCCUAGAUCAGAGAUAAGCUCAAGGGCAUAUUUUCGUUGAUGCAUAACAAUCCCCUCCUUGCUUCUGGCAAACUCAAUGCCAAGAAAAUAUCUGAGACAACCAAGAUCCUUGAUCUUAAAACUGGAAUGCAGGCUAGCUUUAGUAUCCUCUAUCAUAGCUAAAUCAUCACCAGUGAUGAGAAGAUCAUCAACAUACACCAGAAUAACAACCAUUUUUCCAUGUGAAUGUCUGAUGAACAAAGAGUAGUCCAGGUGACUUUUAGUGAACCCAAAAGAAAGUAAAGCAGUAGUGAGUUUUAAAUUCCAUUGCCUGGAAGCUUGUUUAAGGCCAUAGAGUGACUUAAGUAAUCUGCAAACUUGUUGAGAUUUACCCUGAUCAGAAAAACCUUGUGGCAUGGUCAUAUAGAUUUCUUCUUCAAGAUCGCCUUGUAAGAAAGCAUUAAAGACAUCCAUUUGAUGAAUAUCCCAAUUCUUAGAUGCUGCUAUAGCUAAAACUGCUCUGACAGUGACCAUCUUCACAACUGGAGAAAAUGUUUCUUGAUAGUCCAGACCCUCUUGUUGGUUAUACCCCUUAGCCACCAACCUAGCCUUGAAUCUAUCUAUCUCUCCUGAGGCUGUGUAUUUAAUUUUAUAGACCCAUUUACAGCCAAUAGCUCUCUAGUCAACACAUCUGCUAGUUGUUCAGAGGAAGGAAGGUGUAGCAGAUGCACAAGUCCUUGUUGAAUUCUUUCUCUGAUAAAGUGACAAUCCAAAUCAAUGUGCUUGGUCCUUUCAUGGAAUACUGGAUUUAAAGCUAUCUGAAUAGCUGACUUACUGUCACUGUGAAGUGGGAUAGGUAGUUGUAGAUCAACAGCCAAUUCUUUGAACAACCUGGUAAGCCAAACAAUCUCUGCUACUGUUGAAGCUAAGCUCCUGUACUCUGCUUCAGCAGAACUCCUUGAAACUGUCAGUUGCUUUUUUGACUUCCAUGAAAUAAGAGAAGAGCCAAACUUCACUAUGUAUCCAGUGACAGAUCUCCUGGUAUUUGGGCAUGCUGCCCAGUCAGCAUCACAAUAGGCAGCUAGUACAUUAGAGCUGUGUGAAGACAAUAAAACACCAGUGCCAGGAGAACCUUUGAUGUACCUAACCAACCUUAGUGCAGCCUCCAUGUGUGAAGUCUUAGGUGAAUGCAUAAAUUGGCUCAAACAUUGCACAGCAAAUGCAAUAUCAGGUCUGGUAUUAGUCAAGUACAAAAGCCUGCCAAGAAGUCUUUGAUAGGCACCAAUGUCAUCUACA